AUAUCAAUAAGCGGAGGAAAAGAAACCAACAGGGAUUGCCCCAGUAACGGCGAGUGAAGCGGCAGCAGCUCAAAUUUGAAAUCUGGCCCCCCGCCCGCGGGGGCCCGAGUUGUAAUUUGCAGAGGAUGCUUCCGGCGCGGCGCCCUCCCGAGUUCCCUGGAACGGGACGCCGCAGAGGGUGAGAGCCCCGUACGGUCGGGCGCCCAGCCACUGUGAAGCUCCCUCGACGAGUCGAGUAGUUUGGGAAUGCUGCUCUAAACGGGAGGUAUAUGUCUUCUAAAGCUAAAUACCGGCCAGAGACCGAUAGCGCACAAGUAGAGUGAUCGAAAGAUGAAAAGCACUUUGGAAAGAGAGUUAAAGAGCACGUGAAAUUGUUGAAAGGGAAGCGCUCGCGACCAGACUUGGGCCCCGGGGGAUCAUCCGGCGUUCUCGCCGGUGCACUCCGCCGGGCCCAGGCCAGCAUCAGCCCGCCGCGGGGGACAAAGGCGCCGGGAACGUGGCUCCCCACNGGGAGUGUUAUAGCCCGGCGCGCAAUGCGCCGCGCGCGGGCUGAGGCACGCGCUCCGCAAGGAUGCUGGCGUAAUGGUCCCCAGCGACCCGUCUUGAAACACGGACCAAGGAGUCGUCCUCGUAUGCGAGUGUUCGGGCGUCAAACCCCUACGCGCAAUGAAAGUGAGCGGCAGGUGAGAGCUUCGGCGCAUCAUCGACCGAUCCCGACGGGCCCCCCAGAGGGAUUUGAGUAGGAGCAUACGGGGCCGGACCCGAAAGAAGGUGAACUAUGCCUGCGUAGGGUGAAGCCAGAGGAAACUCUGGUGGAGGCUCGCAGCGGUUCUGACGUGCAAAUCGAUCGUCAAACGUGGGCAUGGGGGCGAAAGACUAAUCGAACCUUCUAGUAGCUGGUUUCCGCC
rnacentral:rRNA from 1 species